rnacentral:rRNA from 1 species
UACGUAGGGUGCGAGCGUUGUCCGGAAUUAUUGGGCGUAAAGGGCUCGUAGGCGGUUUGUCGCGUCGGGGAGUGAAAACCAGGUGCUUAACACCUGGCUUGCUUUCGAUACGGGCAGACUAGAGGUAUGGCAGGGGAGAACGGAAUUCCUGGUGUAGCGGUGAAAUGCGCAGAUAAUCAGGAGGAACACCGGUGGCGAAGGCGGUUCUCUGGGCAUGACCUGACGCUGAGGAGCGAAAGUGUGGGGAGCGAACAGG